AUACUUACCUGGCAGGGGAGACACCAUGAUCAAGUAGGUGGUUCACCCAUUGCGAGGCUCGGCCAUUGCACUUCCGGCCGUGCUGACCAGUGUGAAUUCCCCAAAUGUGGGAAUCUCAACUGCAUAAUUUAUGGUAGUGGGGGACUGCGUUCGCGCUCUCCCCUG
ensembl:snRNA U1 U1 spliceosomal RNA